rnacentral:rRNA from 1 species
UACGCAGGGGGCGAGCGUUGUUCGGAAUUACUGGGCGUAAAGGGCGCGCAGGCGGCCUUAGAAGUCAGAUGUGAAAGCCCCGGGCUCAACCUGGGAAUGGCAUUUGAUACUCUGAGGCUGGAGUACGGGAGAGGAGAGUGGAAUUCCCAGUGUAGAGGUGAAAUUCGUAGAUAUUGGGAAGAACACCGGUGGCGAAGGCGGCUCUCUGGACCGUAACUGACGCUGAGGCGCGAAAGCGUGGGGAGCAAACAGG